GCAGACACAUUCCAGCCAAUCAGCAGCAGACCCUCCCUCCCAGACCCUCCCACCUCCUGGACAGCAUCCAUUUUACAUUCAAUGUGAAGCUGCAUUCUUAGUGAGCUGUCCAGGAGGUGGGAGGGUCUGGGAGGGAGGGUCUGCUGCUGAUUGGCUGGAAUGUGUCUG